UUAAGACAUGCUCAAAUGGGUCAUGUUAUAAGACUUUCAGGAGAGAAGUGAGAUAGAGGGAUUAUCAAAUGAAAUGAGGAAAGCUAAGUGAAAACAUGUGCUUGAGACAUCAUAGGAGCAAUUAGCAAAGAGAACGGUAUGCCAUGAUUCAUAAAAUGAUGAAUAUACGUUAAUAUGAUUCAACUUAAUUGUUUGAUUUAUUCCUUCUAACAUUUUAAAUCUCACCAGGUGGAAGAGUUGUUUUAUCCGUGCACCUGCAUCUCUAAGAUAUAUACUUGUACUUUGGCGUUGUGCACUCAAAACCAGUAGUGGCAUAUGAAGUACUAGAUGCUGAUCCUGCACCUUGGAUAAUAAGGGUGAAAUUCCAUUGCACAUUUCAAACAGGAAAGCAAUUUGUUAUGUUACAUAGGAACCAGAGGUGAUUUCAAACUCUGCUCACGUGAGCUGGAUCUCUGCAGGAUGCUGGCUAACACAAUGACAGCUCUUUUUGAACCAUUAGAAGUAAUCAGUAUUCUAGUUUUCAUGGCCUUUCUUAUCAGGCUGUUCUUGACUCUGCUCAAGUACAGUACAUCUAAUGGAAAAAUACAUCCUUUUGGAGAGUGAAAAGUACAGCAUAUGAAAUGGGACCUUUAUUAUUUCAUUUUGAAAGCCUGUAAGAAGUAGAGAGUUUUAAUCCAUUGCAGAAAUCAGUCUAGUUGAUUCAGAGCUGCUUAGUCAGUUCGUUUAAAUCAAGGUAAUUGAUAAAACCUUGUUUUGCCUUAAAGAGCAAGUGACGUCUAAAUUAACUUUUUUUUGCUGAUGAACUGUAUAAAUGUGUGUCUAAUAGUGUUUUAAAUGUGUGUAUUAAUUAUUUUAGCAUUUUGGUGCAUUUUCUUUAAAAAUUUAAAAUUCUGCCUAAAUACCACAGUAUAGCGCCACCUUCAGCUUAAAACAGAGUUUGAGUCAUUUUGAAUCUAUUUUAGCCAAUGGCUAAAGAGUAAGAUACUACGUAAACCAGUAGAGUACUACGUAGCAGCUCUGUGUCAAAGUUAUAAAGCAACGAGAGUCUCGGCCACGCCUUGUGGCGAGUUGGGAGUUGGAUUUGCAAGCGAGUGUAGGAGGUUAGCAGUAGUUCAGCAUUAGCAUAUCCAAGUCUUUAGCAUAGCUUUUAGUUUUAUAAAUACGUAUUUAGUGUUAGCUUUGCUGUUGGAUAUUGUAGUUUAGUUAGUGUUUGUCUGUUAGUGUUAUUAGGAAAGUAGUUUGGGUUUAGUGUUCCAUAUCGUGUUAGUAUGGUGAGAAGGUGUAGUGUAGUGGGUUCGGUGGCUCUGUGGGGUUGCACUCCUUUCCGCUGGACUUAGAAAUUAGGCGCCAGUGAUUGCGCAGUCGGUGUACUGGAAAACAGUCAGCUCCCGCCUGGUGCUGUAGUUUGCAAUCAGCAUUUUACCCACGAUUCCUUCGCCAACAUGAUGGAGUUUGAACUGGGUUGUUCUGCACGUCUCCGUUUGAAGAGGGAGGCUGUGCCCACCGUGGCUCUUCCGCGAUUUAGAUGCAGCCCACCGACUCUGCUCCCCCACCAUGGCGCGCUCCAGUCUGAGGUGAGUAAGCUAAAUACAAGUUUUAACAUCUUCUAAAGAAAAUUCCCUACCUAAAUGCAAAGUUUGAGAGAUGUGGUUCACUUAAUUUAGCUAAUAUAAGUCUGCACUGCCUUCGGGCUGAUUUGUCAAGUUCACAAAAUGUGGAACGGGAACAUGUCUCGAAGCCCUGGCCGACAAAACGGUCCACAUGACUAUUACUGUCAGGCUCGGAGAAAAUUCGGGUUGUUUUUGUGUCAGUCGGUAAUUCUGCAACAGUGACUAACUAACGCAGCACUAGCUGACAGACAGCAUUACAGCGUGACCUGGUUCUGUGAGGAAUUCUGUUCAGGAGGUCGCAUUUCAGGCUCUCCACAUCAUAUGUGACUGACUUUUACGUUAUAACAACGAUCACACACUAGGAAUGUUAUAAAGCGCCUAUAUAGGACAGUUUCUUUUGUAUAUUAUCUGACUUUAUAAACUCCAACAACAAUGUGCUUCUAUUUUUUUCAGGCUAAAUCUACCCAAGACAUUGGCUGUCAGACUGAUUUAGUAGUCUGCAAGAAUGCCCUUGUCCAGGCUGACAUGAAGCCUUACCCGUAGCAAAGGUGAACUAUUUUUAAUAAUCUUCUAUGUAAACAUUUUAUUAUUACCUUCUAGUUUUAAUUUGUUUUACAGAUUGUUGUUACACGUGAUUUUAUGCUCUUUUAAACAUUUAUAAAUGUGCUACUUCUUUGUUUUUACAUAGCCACCCAGAAUAGAGCUCACAGCCUCAGUGUGUCUUGUGACACAGGGACCAUGACGGAAAUUCAUCUUCCAGAAGGUCCCAGAGCAGCGUCCACACCCCUGAAAAGACCAAGAUGUGAGGUGUCUGCUGUUGAUUCCAGCUUCCACCUCAGUGACAGUGCAAGCUCAGUGAACUGUUCAAGGAGGCUACUGAUUCUGCCCCUGUGACACUUGGUGGUGACGUGUGAGCUGAUUCACCUGGACACUCAGCAAAAUAUGGACUCUACAUCAUGAGGCAGGCACACGUUAAUACUCUAUAAGAGCACAUAAGCAUGAGGAUGUCCUCACACACCUGUAACCUAUCAGCUCAUCUGGCAGAAUAGAGAGAGAAGAGACAACACCACAUCUCCUGUUCCUGGAAAGCCUUCAGCCAUCCUUCGAUGACUGAGAUCCUCCAUCAGCUCUGACUCCUGUCUGCCUACAAUUAUUAUAAUAAAUAUUUGACAAGUUUUUAGUGCUGCCAAAUAUCUCAUUUUGAUUCCAGUUUUGAUAUUUUAAUGGAUAUUUAUAAAUUACAUUAAUUGAAUUAUCACAAUUUUGCAUGUUUAAAUAGCUCUAUUGUGAUGAUAAUUUCAAGCA